rnacentral:lncRNA from 1 species
CAGCUGCUUCAUUCAACCUCAUCAUCUCCCGAUUCUUACAGAUUACUGCAUCAUGCCACCAAGACAAAAGGAAAGAGAAGGAGGACACGGUCAUCAAAAGCAUGUGUCCUGAAAGAAAUACUCAAUGCGACUACAUUUUUUCAUCUAACUGGCAUAGCGCUAAAGACUAUUUCUGCCAAAUACUUAGCAAUCAAAUGAAUGUAAUUAUAAGUCAUCAAAAAUUGGAUCGCACUGGUAUGGAGAUUCAGGUGGAUACAACUAUUCCCUUCAUGUUCUGAGAGAAGAUGCUCUAUCUUCUGCACUGCUUCUUACAACACUCCGAGGAAAGAUUUUAAUACGUCUACUUCUGCCGCUGAGUACCAAGGGAAGAAUAAGAACAAAAACAAUGGUUUGAUUUUUUUUUCAGUCGUAUGGAUAAAAUCUAGUCACACUCGAACAUAACAGUGUUUUAAUCUAUCAAUU